rnacentral:RNase_P_RNA from 1 species
GGUCGAUGGCAGAUGAUCGCUGGUGAGCCGCAAGGCUUGCCAGAGGAAAGUCCGAACACCAUACGGCAGCAUGCCGCGUAGAAAACGCGGGCGCCGCAAUUGCAAGAUUGCGGUGACGGAAAGUGUCACAGAAAAGACACCGCCGGUUCUUUGAGAAAAGUGCAGGCAAGGGUGAAAAGGCGAGGUAAGAGCUCACCGCUCGCGGAGUAAUUCGCGAGGCAGGAAAAACCCCAUGCGGUGCAAGACAAAACAGAGGGAGGACAGCCGGUCCGUUGAUCCUUCGGGUAUCGUCGCAUCACGGUCCCGCCACGGCGGGAUCGGGCGCUCAGAGAAAUCUGGGUGAGAUAAAUGAUCAUCGCCCCGAAGAAAUUCGGGGGACAGAAUUCGGCUUACCGCCGUCAAAUAUGA